rnacentral:lncRNA from 1 species
GCCAGUCUUUCUCCAUGUGAUCACUCACUCUUUCCAAAUGGAAAACAAUUGAAAUCAUCUGCAAGCAAGGAUGGAGGAGUACUGCCCUGGGAGAGGGAUGCGGAGGAGUGUUGCAGCAAUUGGAAAAAAUGAAAACAACUGGAAUAUAAUUGGGACUCAUUCUAAGUAUUCAGAUGUACCAUUUUCUUUAGAUGCCAAAUCUGCAUAAUUGGUUUCAGCUGCCCAACCCCCCCCCAGU